UCGAACGGAGAUAUUAUUUCGGUAGAUAUCUUAGUGGCGCACGGGUGAGUAACGCGUGAAUAACCUGACCCGAAGAGGGGGAUAACACCUGGAAACAAGUGCUAAUACUGCAUAAGACCACGGAUCGGCAUCGGUCAGAGGUCAAAGGAGAAAUCCGCUUUGGGAGGGGUUCGCGUCCCAUUAGGUAGUUGGUGAGGUAACGGCCCACCAAGCCGACGAUGGGUAGCCGAGCUGAGAGGCUGAUCGGCCACACUGGAACUGAGACACGGUCCAGACUCC
rnacentral:rRNA from 1 species